GCGCUUGCUUUGGUAGCACAUACACUAAAAUUGGAACAAUAUAGAGAAGAUUAGCAUGGCCCCUGGGCAAGGAUGACACACAAGUUCGUGAAGUGUUCCAUAUUUUU
ensembl:snRNA U6 U6 spliceosomal RNA